rfam:[Eubacterium rectale] ATCC 33656 chromosome, complete genome.
UAUGCAGGACAGGUGAUCGCGGCUGCAGGUGUCGAAAGACCGCAGGUGAGGAAAGUCCGGGCUUCAUAGGGCAGGAUGCCGGUUAACGGCCGGUGGAGGAAACUCUAAGGACAGUGCAACAGAAAUAUACCGCCACUUUUGUGGUAAGGGUGGAAUGGCAGUGUAAGAGACUACCGCCUCACUGGUAACAGGGAGGGCACAUGUAAACCCCAUCCGAAGCAAGACCGAAACAAAGCUUUGACGUGGCCCGCCAGCUUUAGGUAGGUCGCUUGAGGCGUCUGGCAACAGGCGUCCUAGAUAGAUGAUCACUCAACGACAUAACCCGGCUUAUCGUCCUGCGUAUUUU